UGGCGGUGAUGACGUAUCUUAGGACACCUUUGGAGUACCUGUGAAAAAAUAUAAAGUUUUUUUUUCUGAGCCAU
ensembl:snoRNA SNORD58 Small nucleolar RNA SNORD58